rnacentral:tRNA from 1 species
AGUCUUAUAGUUUAAUUAAAAACCUUAAAUUGCAAAUUUAAUAAUGAGCUCUCUAAGACUU